rnacentral:rRNA from 1 species
AGUGAACGCUGGCGGUAGGCCUAACACAUGCAAGUCGAACGGCAGCACAGUAAGAGCUUGCUCUUACGGGUGGCGAGUGGCGGACGGGUGAGGAAUACAUCGGAAUCUACUUUUUCGUGGGGGAUAACGUAGGGAAACUUACGCUAAUACCGCAUACGACCUACGGGUGAAAGCAGGGGAUCUUCUGACCUUGCGCGAUUGAAUGAGCCGAUGUCGGAUUAGCUAGUGGGCGGGGUAAAGGCCCACCAAGGCGAGGAUCCGUAGCUGGUCUGAGAGGCUGAUCAGCCACACUGGAACUGGGACAGGGACAAGGCUCCUACGGGAGGGAGCAGUGGGGAAUAUUGGACAAUGGGCGGAAGCCUGAUCCAGCCAUACCGCGUGGGUGAAGAAGGUCUUCGGGUUGUAAAGACCUUUUGUUGGGAAAGAAAAGCAGCAGCUUAAUACGCAGCUGUUCUGACGGUACCCAAAGAAUAAGCACCGGCUAACUUCGUG